ACCAGGGCGCUCCUCCUGGCCAUGAAGGCGGCCCAACAGCCGAAUCCCACCGAACACAAGGGUGAAGCCGGUGUGGGAGAAAAGGCAGUUGAAAAGGUUCAAGCGGCUGGUGGAGGCGGGAGUCUCAAAAGAAAGCAUCGGGCCGGAAGGGAUAAGGAUGCGAGGAGAAAUAAGU